GACCCAGCACUUGGUCUUGUUGAACUUCAUCCCGUCAUCCUCAGCCCAGUGAUCCAGCCUGUCCAGAUGAGCACUUUUCCCCAGUUUGAUGUAACCUGCAAACUUACUGAGGGUUCACUCAAUUCCCUCAACCAGAAUUCUGACCCCAAAUUACUUCUCUGAGGUCACAGUGAGGUGUCUCAGUGCAGGUCUCCUGGCUGCGAAGUGUCUGCUCAGGCUGUGCAGCUCCAUGAAGGUGGAUGUUAUUUGCAGGGUGGGUGUUGUCAGUGAUCCUUGUAGAGAUGAAGGGGUGAGGGCUGUGCACUGUGCAGCCAAUGGUCCUAUAUGGAAUGAGUCUGCUGCAGUGGGAAAGGCCAUGUCCUUUUGUUUGCAAAGCAUCUGGGUUCAGUUCCUGACUGAUAGGAGUUUGGAAGCUGCUAGAAGUGUCUCCACUGCUUUUGGCUCAGAUGCUGCCCUUACACCAACUGGGAAGUAAUCUUUAAAUACAAGAACCCAGUGCACUAUGUAGAGGCACAGUGUAAUAACAGAUGAUCACUGGAGUGGAGAAUGGAGAAAAAUAGGGAUUGAAGCUGCCCAGGUUUCCUGUACCUAUUGCUCUGGAGACCUGGAGGAUGAGGAUGCCCCUGUAUCAGCCUGGGCUGUAGCACUCAGUUAAGAAGAACAAACAAAAGCACGCAGCAACAACAAAAUACUAGGUAUCCUGUCUUCAUCCUCUCCAUUACUGAACGAUUCAGGCACAAAAUAUGCUACUGAAACAUCUGAAAAAUGUUAUGGUAAUCCACAUGUAACUCAGAAAUGUUUGGAAUUAUAUUACACAAACUUUUAUGUAUAUUUAUAAAAAAAAAAAAAAAAAAAAGAUCAGAAAAAGCCAGUAAAGUUUCAGUUCAGAAGAAGUAUUUUGUAAAGUUAUAAGAAUAUCAGCACAGACUUGGAAAAAUAUUUUAGAAUCAAAGAUGGAAUUCUUCUUUGAUUAUAUCGUGUAAUACCCAUUUCUGUGGUAGCACAUGCUUAUUAAAUAUGAAAUCAUAUUGCAGUU